UGCAAGCAGUAUUAUGCUUUGGAUAUCACCUAUUUCAAGUCCUCUCUUGAUUGCCAUCUUUUGGACCUUUUGUGGAACAAAUAUUGGGUGAAUACACUGUCAUCUUCACCUCUCUUGGGUAAUGCAGACUAUGUUGCUGGACAAAUUUCAGAUUUAGCUGAAAAGCUGGAGCAAGCUGAGAAUCAAUUAGCUCACUCCCGUUUUGGACCCCUAGUAGCACCACCUCAAAGAAAGAAAGAGGAAGAAUCUCAACUUGCUAAAAUUACUCGUGAUAGUGCCAAAAUAACUGUGGAACAGGUCCAUGGUCUAAUGUCACAGGUUAUUAAGGA
rnacentral:misc_RNA from 1 species